GCCAGACACAGUGGUGCCUGCCUGUAAUCCCAGCUACUGGGGAGGCUGAGGCAGGAGGAUCACAAGUUCCAGGCCAGACUCAGCAACUUAGUGAGUCCAUUAAGCAAAUUGGCAAAUCCUGUCUCAA
rnacentral:sRNA from 1 species